rnacentral:ncRNA from 2 species
UUCAUAUGAGUGGAGACAGGUUCCUUGGCGAUGAAUAUCGGCGCAAGGAUGAAAAGGGAAGUCGGUGAGAAUCCGACACGGUCCCGCCACUGUAUGAGGGGAGUUUGCACAACUUUUGGCCACUGGUCGAGCUGACUGGGAAGGCGUUGUGCAGAUCAUGAUCCUCAAGUCAGGAGACCUGCCUGUUUCGACAACACUGC